rnacentral:rRNA from 1 species
GAACUUAAGCAUAUCAAUAAGCGGAGGAAAAGAAACUAACAAGGAUUCCCCUAGUAACUGCGAGUGAAGCGGGAAAAGCUCAAAUUUAAAAUCUGGUGGUCAAUUUGAUCGCUCGAGUUGUAAUCUAGAGAAGUGCUUUCCGCGCUGGACCGUGUACAAGUCUCUUGGAAUGGAGCGUCGUAGAGGGUGACAAUCCCGUCUUUGACACGGACAACCAGGGCUUCAGUGAUGCGCUCUCGAAGAGUCGAGUUGUUUGGGAAUGCAGCUCAAAAUGGGUGGUAAAUUCCAUCUAAAGCUAAAUAUGGGCGAGAGACCGAUAGCGAACAAGUACCGUGAGGGAAAGAUGAAAAGAACUUUGAAAAGAGAGUUAAACAGUACGUGAAAUUGUUGAAAGGGAAACGAUUCAAGUCAGUCGCGUUGGCCGGUAAUCAACCCUCUUGCGAGGGCUUACUUUCUGGUUAACGGGUCAGCAUCAAUUUUGACCGUUAGAUAAAGUCUCGAGGAAUGUGGCAUUCUCGGAUGUGUUAUAGCCUCGGGUCGCAUGUGACGGUUGGGAUUGAGGAACUCAGCACGCCGAAAGGCCGGGGCAUUGCUCACGUAAACGUGCUUCGGAUGCUGGCAUAAUGGCUUGAACCGACCCGUCUUGAAACACGGACCAAGGAGUCUAACAUGCCUGCGAGUGUUUGGGUGGAAAACUCGAACGCGAAGUGAAAGUGAACUCUUGUUGGGAUCUCUGUCGUGGGGAGCACCGACGCCCGGACCAGACCUUUUGUGACGGAUCCGCGGUUGAGCAUGCAUGUUGGGACCCGAAA